rfam:Myotis lucifugus cont2.6596, whole genome shotgun sequence.
CAUGCACCAGUGGGGUCCCUCGGCCUGGCCUGUGUCCUCUCGCAAUUGGGACCCCUCAGGGGAUGUCAGAGAGAUGGUCUCGACCCGAUUCCGCAGGCCAGGCCGAGGGACCCCACUGGUGCAUG